rnacentral:lncRNA from 1 species
GAACUUAGGAUUUGUUUAGGAUUUGUUUUAAGAUUAGGAUUUUAUUUAGAAUUUAGAGUUUGGUUAGAAUUUGAUUUAGAAUUAGGAUUUGAUUUAGGAUUUAGAGUUUGGUUAGAAUUUGAUUUAGAAUUAGGAUUUGAUUUAGGAUUUAGGGUUUGAUUAGGAUUUAAUUUAGGAUUUAGGAUUUGAUUUAGAGUUUAAGAUUUGAUUUAAGAUUAGGAUUUGAUUAGAAUUUGAUUAGGAUUUGAUUUAAGAUUAGGGUUUGAUUUAGGAUUUAGGAUUUAGGAUUUGGUUUGGAUUUGAUUUAAGAUUAAGAUUUGGUUUAAGAUUUAAGAUUUGGUUAGGAUUUGAUUUAGGAUUAGGAUUUGAUUUAAGAUUAGGAUUUGAUUUAGGAUUUAAAGUUUAGGAUUUGGUUAGGAUUUGAUUUAAGAUUAGAGUUUGGUUUAAGAUUUAGAGUUUGGUUAGGAUUUGAUUUAGAGUUUAAAAUUUGGUUAGGAUUUGAUUUAGGAUUAGAAUUUGGUUUAGGGUUUAGGAUUUAGGAUUUGGUUAGGAUUUGGUUUAGGAUUAAGGGUUUAGUUAGGGUUUGAUUUAAGAUUAGGAUUUGAUUUAGGAUUUAGGAUUUGAUUUAGAGUUUAAGGUUUGAUUUAGAAUUUAAGGUUUGGUUAGGAUUUGAUCAAGAUUUGAUUUAGGAUUUAGGAUUUUAUUUGAAUUUGUUUAGAAUUUAAAAUUUAGUUAGUUUUGGCCUAAAGUUUAAAUGAAGUCCAAUAAGAUUUCAACUAGGAUUAAAUUAAGAUUGAAUUGAGAUGUAUUUGAGAUAUGUUUGUAAUCAUUCUAAUAUUUUUUUAAGAUUUCUUAUUGUUUCUUUAGAAUUUCUUUGAGGUUUCUCUAAAUUUGAUUAAAGCUUCUUUAGCAUUGUUAAUGUUCUAUUAGAAUUAAGAUUUUGUUGUUGUAGUUUCCAUUCUACCUUCUAUAGCUAGGUGCCCAAAGCAUUCUCAAGCAAGACUUCAUGUAUUACGAUAAUGUUCUUCAAUUAUACCACAUAUAUACAUCAAUUAUUUUGUAGCUUCUUCACUAUCCAAUUCUAAUGAGCAAUUGGAAGCAAAAAAUAUACAGAUUGAUGUAGUUUGCUUCAAACCUCUUUUUGAGCAUGAAAAAAAACGUUGAAGGGACUUGGUCUAUGCUUAUAUUGUAAAAAAUCUGGCCAUAAGAUUAAUAAUUUUUUAGAAAAAUACCAGCAUACAUAUCCAAUGAGAAGUGAAGCUACAUCAUCAAAAUCAUUGCAUGAAAACGAGGGCGUCUAGCCACAAUAGAGACCAUACGACUGGAUUCUUCACUUUCAUGAAUCAAAAAAGAUCUUUUAAUUUCUAUCAACCCUUCUCCUUAUUUUACUGUACAUAUACGGUUAGGAGUCACAAAACUAGAGUGUCAUGUAUUACUUGACUUGAGAGCCUCUACAUGUUUUAUUAACAAAGAAUUUUUUAAAUCACACAAAAUCCGUAUGGUUAAAAAAUCCAAAGUUGUACAUAUAAAUGUAAUAGAUGGUCGACCUUUAUCUUCUAGAAAUGUCAUUCAUGAAAUGAUUCCAUUAAAAAUAAUCUUUGACAACCAUAGCAGCCAAGUAGUAUUCAACGUCAUUAGAUCACCAUCAAGUUCAGUCAUUUUAUAACUCUAAUGGCUUGAAAAGUAUAAUCCUUAGAUAGAUUGAAUAUCCCAAAAGUUAGAAUUUCUUCUAGUAGAUCAUAGAGCCUCCAAAUCUAUGAAAAAGGUUCUAACACGUAAUAAGCUAAAACUUAAAUAAUAUUUAUUUAUUGAAGCUGGACCAUUUGUGAAGGUGGCUAACUAAAGUACUACAUUUGUUGUCUAUGCAAAUCUACAAUUGGAACUUGUGAUUGCUACAACAAAAAUUCCAAAGGUAUAUAAGGAUUUUAUAGAUGUAUUUGAAAAGAAAAAUGCAGACAUCCUGCCAAUGCAUUGUCCUUACGAUUGUACAAUUGACCUUCAAGAAGGUGCUCAACCACUAUUUAGAUCUAUCUAUUAUUUAUUCCAAAAUGAGCUUGCAACUUUAAAGGAGUAUAUUGAAGAAAAUCUAACUAAGAAUUUUAUUUGGCAUUCUAAGUUGCCAGCUAGUAUUUUGAUAUUAUUUGUGAAGAAAAAAAUAAGAUCUUUACAAAUGUAUCUCAAUUAUUGCAGUUUUAAUAAAAUCAUGGUAAAAAUUGAUAUCUAUUACCGAAGAUAUCCAGACUUCUUGAUCAACUUAGCCAAGUAAAAUCUUUACAAAUAUUGAUCUAUGAGGCACUUAUAACUUGGAAUGCAUUAAAAAUAGAGAUGAAUUGAAGAUAACAUUUUAUACUAGGUAUAGACAUUUUGAAUAUAAUAUCAUGUCUUUUGGACUUACCAAUAUAUCAGCCAUAUUCUAAUACUUAAUGAAUGACAUAUUUUAUGAGCAUCUCAAUGAUUUUGUUGUGAUCUAUUUGGAUGAUAUUCUAAUCUUUUCCAAGAAUCCAAAAGACCACAAAAAAUAUGUUUGCCUUGUGCUAAAAAAGCUAUGAAGUACUGGGUUAUAUGCAAAACUGGAGAAGUGUAUAUUUCAUGCACCUCAAGUCAAAUUUUUUAGAUAUAUUAUUUCCAAUAAAGGCCUUUUUAUAGAUCCAAAUAAGGUACAAGUAAUCAUUGAUUGGACAAAGAUAAAAACUAUACAUGAUUUCUAAUACUUUUUAAGAUUUGUAAAUUUCUACAUGAUUUUUAUUAGGAAUUACUCUAAGAUUAUUGCUCCACUUUCAUAAUUAACAUGCAAGAACAAGCUAAAUUGGGGUUCCAAAACAGAGAAAGCUUUUCAAAGAUUAAAAGAUGCUUUCAUAACAGUUCCAAUUUUGAUACAUCUAGAUUUCAACAAGCUCUAUUUUAUGGAGAUCAAUGCCUCAAACUUUGUAUUGAAAGUAGUCUUGUUGCAAUAUGGAGAAGUUGACAAAUUUCAUCUAAUCGCAUUCUAUUCUAGAAAAUUUUCAGUGAUAAAAAUUAACUAUGAAAUCCACAAUAAAGAGUUGUUUGCUAUUGUAGAUUCUUUCCAAGAAUAAUGCCACUUUCUUGAAUGUACCUUUCAUCAGGUGAUUGUAUACACAGAUUACAAGAAUCUUAAAUAUUUCAAAUUAGCCUGAAUCUUAAAUUAUCGUCAAGCACGUUGGAAUAUAUCUUUAUCACGAUUUAACUUUGUAUCACAUAUCGACCCAAGAGCCAACAAAGAUUAUCAAAUGUAUUAUCAAGAUGUUUCUACCUUGAACCAAAAGAAGGCGAGGCAGCAUAUAAUUAACAAUGGACAACCUUGUUAAAACUCGAGCAAUUUCAUCUUUAAGCAACUAAUGUAUCAAUCCUAGUGGAUUUAUCAUUUCUUGAUUAGGUUCAUAAAGCCUUAAACAUAGACCUUCUUGUUCUUAAUAUCAAGCAUCUUGCUAACAACCUACUGAAAAGUCUUCUAAAUUCAAAUAUGAAGACAACCUCUUAUUUUUUGAAGAACAUUUGUUCAUUCUUGAAGGGCCAACUUGCUUGUGUGUUCUUCAAAGAUGCCAUGACUUCUCUACAGCCAGACAUUUUAGAUUCAACAAGACCUUAGAACUUCUGUUUAGAGAUUUUUGGUGGCCUAAAAUAUAGCCAUUUGAGAUGGUAUGACAUUCAUCUCUUUGCACAUAUACUAAUUUACUACAACAUUGCUUCUCAGAGACCUCGAAGCUAGAAGAGGAGUUGAUGUCAUGGUGUCGUGUUAUGGUUCAGCUACUAUAUGAAAAUAAUGUAAUUAUGUACUUAAUAUAUAAUUUAUUAAGUAACAUGGUGAGAGCCAUGUUACUAGAUUUUAGUUGGUUAUAGAAUAUAAUUUAAUUAUUACUUUGAGAAGGGGUUGAUUAAAAAGAUUACUAUAGAAUUUGUAUAACUUUAAUUUCUUUUUAAUAGUGGCUUUUAAGAUUGGUUUUGGUUGAUAGUAACUUCUAAAUAUUUAGAGUCACCUUUAUUAGACAUUGGUGACCUUUGAAAACUUAUUUUGGUUCUUUUAUUUGGUGUUUAGAGCAUAAAUUUUAUAAAUAUUAUAAGAAAAAGGAUUGAAGAAGGGUUUUGGUAGCAAAGUAAGUAAUUAGGGCACCAAUAUAGAUGAAUGGAGAUGAAUGGAGAUGAAUGGAGAUGAAUGAUGAAAAUCUCCAUUCCUAUUGGUCAAAAAUCAUGACCAAUAGGCUUUGAGGAGGCUCCAUGAGGCCAUAUUAGAAAUUAGGGUUAGUUUUUUGGAGCCAUUUGAGCUUUGAAGGCUAAAGUCAGCAAGUUUAGAUUUUUGGCUAUGGAUUUGGUACAAUUUUUGUAUGAUUUGGAGUUUAUGUGAAGAAAAUAUAGAUACUCAAAGUUAAGGUAUUGAUUUGGGAGCUAUUGUCACUCUUUUUGGCAUAACGCACGCGUACGGAUAGCAAUUGAAGAUUGGCAAUUGUGACUAGAUCGAGUACUUUUGCAGCUACACUUUUUUUAUAUUGCUUACUAGAUUCUAAGUUGACAUGAAGGAGUUAUUGGAUUUUGAACUCAGCACAUACAAUCUAAGGGUAGUAAGUGACCCGAUUUACUAGUGGUUGUGUCUUGAGCUAUAUCUUGAGCAAUUUGACAAGGUUUUGGCUUAAAAUUUCAGAAAAUGUGUAACUUUAUGUUAAUAAACUUUAUAAAUAGGUUUUAUAACAUUUGAAUAUUGGAUUCUUAAGAUAUUAAGAAAAUAGUACUGGGAUGCUUGUAAAUUAGGGUUUAGAGCAUCUACUAGGAUUUCUUAGAUGACAAAAGCUUAGGAGUGAAUUUGCACUUGGUUUUUUUUUUGACAAAAUUUACAAGUGAAUUCUACCUAUUUUAUAAAUUUGAAAAAAAUUGAAUAACUUAAUCAAGAGUUAUGAAUUUCUAAAGUUUGAGACAAGAAAAUCAAUUGCGUAAAAAAUAUGUUUUGAAGGGAUUUUGUUAUAUUUUGAGUUUUAUGCAAAAUAAAGGAGUUUUUGGAGGCUAAGACAAGAUUCAUAUAUAGAUUUAAGCUAAACUCUCUAUAGCUAGAUAUCUAGUGUAUUCCUAGAUAGCAAAUCUUGCCAUAUGAUAAACCUAGUAAAUCCAACGUAAAUUUUUUUGGAAUAGAGAGUUUUGAAGAAAUAUUUUGGCUUUCUAUUAUGGAAGGGAGAAAAGAGAGUGGUAGUAGGAAUUGCACUAGGGAAUCUCGAUUGCAACUUGAUCCUGCUACAACUCAAAUAUUUUAAGCAUUUGUACUUUUUAUGCAACAACAGCAAGGAAUGGAACGCAAGAAAGCAAUGGCUACUAAAGCCUUGCAAUCUGUUGUGGAUUUAUUGGAUUAAUUUGAUGGAAGAAAUAUUUUCAAGUAUCUUAAGUAUUAUUCUAAAGAGAUGGAGCUCAAUAAAGUGCCAGAGAAAGAUAUGAUCUUAACAUUUGAAGCUGCAGUUGUACCAGAGCUUCGUGAGCAUAUAAAGGGAAUUAUUAAAACUCAUGGAGAAAAAUGUGAGGAUUUUAUCUUUCAGCUAAAAGAAGAAUAUUCUUUAGAAGAUGGAAAAAUGAUGACAAGAAAAAAAUUUAUGGAAUAUAUCAAUAAAUCUAACAAGGAGUUGGUUGCAACAGAGUUAUUCCGAGAAUUUGAAAGACAGUUUCUUUAAUUGUCUUGAGUGAAAAAGCUUAUACUUGAAAAUGAUAAGGUGGAGUUAUUUCUUCAAUCAACUAGCAAUGAUUUACAAAGAGAGUAGGAAUUACUAUUAGAAGAUAAUACAAAGGACAAUGGACUUACUACUGAUUGGAAGAAUGUCUCUGAAGCUAUAGGCAUACUUGUUAAAAGAGAGUACCAGAAGGAUAAGGUGAUAGUAAGGCAAGAGGCUACAAUUGCACCAUAGAAAGAUACGAUUGAUGAAUUGAUAAAAGGAAUGAAAGACUUACAAAUCAAAUUGGCAAAGCAAGAGAAAAAAGAAGGUUUACGUGAGAUCAAACCUGCAUCAAAAAAAGGAUAUAUACAAAGAUGUAUUUGGUGUGAUAGUAUUGACCAUCCUCGCAAGGAAUGUGAAAAUUUUGUUGAUAUUCUGCAACAAAGAAUAAUUUUAUGGAAAGAUGGAAAAAUUGUGUUGUGAGAUACAGGUGAGUUUCUCAAAACCAAUUUAAAAAAAGAAGGGAUGAAGAAGGUUUUAAAAGAGUAUUUAUUUCAACAGGCUAUGGCAUCAAGAGAGGCUAUUAUUUAUGGCAUUGAGGCUAUAAAGAAAAAGGAGGAUAUUUUUGACAAGCAUGUAAACAUAGGAGAUCUAUAGAAUCAUACUAUUAUCAACAUGAAUAAAAGAAAAAUAAUAAGAUAAGAAUUACUUAAUAUAGCUACAAUAAUUAGAAAUGCUACAAGAUGGAAUGAGCCUAUAGAUCUUAUAUCUGUACAUACUUAUUUGAAAAAAUUCCAACAUGAAACUCUAAUGAAGGUAAAAAGGAGAAGAAAUGAAAUAGAAGAAAAUUUUGAAGAGCCAAUGAAUAAAAAGAGAUCUCAAAGGCAUACAAAAACAACACAAAAUAAAGAAAUACCUAUACCAUAGGCUAAUACACCAUCCAAGGCUGGGCCAUCGACAUCGCACCCUGGAAAUGUACCACUACCAAAAGAGAAAUGGAAAGAAAGGAUGAAAUUUGAUAAAGACAAAGAGAAGAGUAAGAAUAUUACUUAUAAGCUACAAUCAGAUAUUGAGGUAGCCAUAGAUUUGAAAGGAGUAUUGAAAAAAAAAGUAUUAAAUGCCAAAAUUGAAUUUACUCUACGAGAAAUUUUGGACAUUACAAAAAAAGAGUUUCAUGAUGUUAUCAUUGACAGUAUUAAACAAUAGAGGUAGUUGACAGGAGAAUCUGCUGUAUCUAAUGCUUUGGAUACAAUCUUGACUGAAAAAUAGGAACAUGAAUUGAUAAAAUGUUGUACUGAUAAAAAGAUACAAUUUGAUUUGGAUGAAUACAAAGAUGAUGACAAGGACCCUGGAUACUAUAUCAAGGGACAUUGGGCCAGAGCCACUAUAGAGACUUUAGUAAAAAUGAAAGACUUGGUAGAACCAGUAAUUGCUCUCAUUAAUCAUGGAUCCAAAAUUAAUAUUAUGUCGAAAGAAGUCUACUAACAUGGAAGGUAUCAAGGACAUAAACUCCAAAGAAAGAUAAUCUCAAUAUACUCUUGUAUCAUUCGAAAAUACUUAGAAAUCACUCAAAAGUGAUAAUAUAUUGAAUUAGAAUGGCUAUUGUCAAAGACUAGAAAACAUGACGACUCUUGAAACUAGACUGGAAAUAAGAAAGAAGUUGACAAGAGUGAAGAAGGCUUUAUUCUUAUCUCUAUGUAUACUAUCUAAUUAGGGGCUAUAUGGCAACAUUCUAUAGGACCUCCAAUAUGUGUUGACUUUGUAGGAUACUUGCCUUGACUUACAAGGUAAGUUUUUCUACGUGUAGGCCACAUAGUUAGCUUGGUCUUCAAGCUAACAAUAUGUGUAGCACAUGGCUAACUUGUUGACCACGUUUAUAAUCCAAAAAUUCAAUUAAAGACACCUAUGAAGUCAAAGCAAUAUCUAUGAAGCUUUUAGGAAGCUUCCAUACCAAAUACUAUAGAAUUAACUUAUUUUUAUCUACUUUUACUUACUUCUACUUAUUUAUAUAUGUAAUUACUAGCUUACAUGAGUAUGUCCGUGACAUUAUCCCACCUUCUAGGAACAAGUUCCAUGAGGAGUGGUCAUCAUAUGUUGAAGAAAUCUAUGAUGCGAUGAAUUAUAUUUGCUACAUAUUCUAAUCUUUGUUCUCUUUGAAAAUGAUUGAUAGGGCCUCUCAACCAUUGGUAGUGUCCCAUACUAGGGCGGGAAGAUCACCCAGUUAUUUGGUCGUUGUUGAGGCCUUCAUAACUUCCCUCAAAGAAAAUAUUUGGAACACCAUUAAGAAUUGUUCCUACCUCUAGUAAAAUCACCAAACAUCGAGAGUCCCUUCUAAAGUCAUGAUACCAAACGCGUUGUAUCUCACCAUCUAUUCGAGGAAGAAUAUAUCGUUCUUGAAGAUCUUCAUCUCGAUUGCAUCAUCUUGAAGGUUGUGACAAUCGUAAUAUCUCAUCUGGAAGAUUAACAAACAAAGGCUCUUGAGUCAAAUCCGUUGGUUGUUGGUUCUCCAUCUCCUUAGGAUCACAACUACAAAUAAAGAUUGAAAGUAGAAUGUUAUCUUAUCUAGAUCUUGUUUCUUUUAUAAAGAAGAUUUUUAUCUUGAUUUUGAUGGAUGUCGUCGAUGAAAAGCCUCCACCGCCUUUGCUGCAUUUACAAGAUUUUUUACUGGCUCCCAUGUGCGUUCACUAAUAUCAUAUCCACGCCAAUGGAUAAGUUAUUCUAAUUUAUUUUGGUGCCGCCUUGAAUCUAAGACUUCUUCCACUUCAAACUCUUCAUUAUUGUCCACUUCUAUAGGAGGAAGUAGAGCUUGUCUUCUUCUUGGUAUAUCCACUAUCUUUUAUAGUUCAAGAAGAGACACAUGGAAUAUUCGAUGGAUUUUUAUUGACUCUGAUAGAUGUAAACGAUAUGCAAUUGAAUUGAUUUGUGCAGAAAUAUAAAAUGGUCCAAGCCUUCAAUAGUCCAACUUGUUAUAAGGACAAGUGAUCUUGAUAUUAUGACAAAGUAAUCAUACCUUAUCGCCCAUGUGGAAUGGUGGUUAUUCCUUUUGAUAGACAUCCACAUUGACCUUUUGUCAUUCUUGAGCUUCUUUUAAUUGCGCCUUUAUUAUUGCAUAUAACUCUGACAACCGAUUUGCCAUAUCUUCUGUCGUGGGAUUAUCAACUUUUGAGAAAUCAAAUGUGUCAAAUCAUAGAUGAUAACCAUAAUUAGUAAAGAAAGGUGUUUGUUGCAUAGAAGAAUGCUUUGUAUUAUUAUAAGCAAACUCUGCCAAUAGUAGAAGAGUUGUCCAAUCAUCUUAUUGAUAGUUGAUGAUACAUCUUAAGUAUUACUCCAAGACUUGAUUUAUGUGCUUUGUUUGUCCGUCAAUUUGAGGAUGAAAAGUCGAAGAUAGUUUUAUAUCCACUUGUAAAAUUUUAAAAAAGGUUUUCUAAAAUCUUGAUACAAACUGAGUUCUCUUAUCCGAUAUAAUAUCCUUUGGUAACCCAUGAUAGCGAUAGAUAUUGUCAAUAAAAACCUUAGCUGUUUCUUCACCCGAGAUGGAUUUUGUACAUGGUAAAAAAUGUGCCAUCUUAGUGAAGCAAUCUACUAUCACAAAUAUAGAAUCAUAAGAACCUGAGCUUAGAAGAUUUGUGAUGAAGUCCAUAGAAACAAAAGACCAUGGUUUUUUUGGAAUGGAUAAUGGCUGAAGAAGUCCAAAAGGUCGGUGACGAGGAGUUUUUGAUCUUGAGCAAACAUCACAUGAUUGUACAAAAUCUUUGACUGCCUUCCACAUUUGAGGCCACCAAAAUCUCCUAGAUAUCAGCUCCAAAGUCUUAUUGUAUCCAAAAUGUCCUGCUACUGAAAAGUUAUGAUGAGCUUGAAGAACACAUAAAUGUGCUUCUCCUUCUGGAACAUAUAGGCAUCCUUUGAAAUAGAAUAGGUUGUUCUUGAACUCGAAUUUAGAGGGAUCAUGAGAUUUAGAAGAAUUAUUCUUGAUAUCAUGAACAAGAGGGUUUGAAGACAUACUUAAUUGGACUUGCUUGAGAAAAGUUAAAUCAACAGUCAAUGUUGAUUUUAUUGCUCGAAGAUGAAAUUACUCCGGCUUCAAGAGAACCAUUCUUUGCUGCUUAAAAGCUGCAUCUCCUUCUUUUGGUACAAGAUAAGAACGUCUAGACAAGGCAUCGGACAAAUCUUGUUGUUUUUCUAGUCAAUAAGUAAUGAUGAACUCGAAUCUUGAUAAAGACAUGCUCUAACAAACUUGACGAUGAUUUAAUAUACAUGCUGACAUGAAAUACUCAAGGUUCUUAUGAUCCGUAUACACGGUGAUUGGACUUAAGGUGCCUUCUAGAUAAUGAUGUCAUUCUUGAAAUGAAUCCAUAAUUAUAAGAAGCUCUUUAUUAUAGAUUUCAUAGUUAAUCUCAACUGCUAAAAAUUUCUUGGAAUGGAAGGCUACUAGAUGAAGUUUAUCAUUUGUUCCUAUUUGUGACAAAACGACACCCAAGGCAAAUUCUGAUGCAUCUAUUUCCAUAAAAAAUAUCUUUGAAAAAUCGAUGCAAUAUAAGAUUGGUGCAGAAAUAAAUUUUUUUUUUAAAGCAUCAAACGCUAGUUUAGCUUCUUUACUCCACUCAAAUUUGUCUUUAUAAGUCAAACGCAUAAGUGGAGCUGUAACUUGAGAGAAGUUUUUGAUGAAGAUUUGAUAGUAAUUUGUAAAGCCCAAAAAAUAUUGUACAUCUCGUAUUAUUCUUGGAAACUUCCAAUCUAUGAUAGUCUCGACCUUCUUGGAAUCGAUCACUACGCCUUCGUUAGAAAUAAUGUAUCCUAAAAAGUCAACUUGAGUAGUGUAGAAUACACACUUUUUUAACUUGGUAUAUAAUCCUACAUCUCUUAAUUUUUGUAACACACGACGAACAUGGAGUUCAUAUUCUUCUGUGUUCUUAGAGUAGAUUAGAAUGUUGUCUAAAUAAGAAACGACAAAAUCAUCUAAAAACUCACGAAAAACAUCAUUCAUAAGAUAUUGAAAAGCAGCUGGUGCAUUUAUGAGUCCAAAAAGCAUGACAUUAUAUUCAAAAUGUUCAUACUUAGUUCGAAAUGCAAUCUUUCAUUCAUCUCCUUCUUUGAUGCGGACCAAGUUGUAUACUCCUUAUAGAUCUACUUUUGUGUAGAUCUUUGCUUCAUUGAGUUGAUCAAGAAAUCCUAAAAUCAAAGGUAAAGGAUACCUGUUUUUUAUGGUAAUCUUGUUAAAGCCCCGAUAGUCUAUGCACAUCUGUAGAGAUCCAUCUUUUUCUUCACAAAUAAGAUCGAUGCUCUUGUUUGAGAUUUUGAAUGACAUAUGAAGUUUUUAGCCAAGUUCUAGUCAAUAUACUCUUUUAGUGCAGCUAACUCGUUUUAUGAUAAGCUAUAGAUUGGUCCAAAUGGCGGUUGAGUUUCUUCUUGAAGAUCAAUUGAACAAUCAUAAGGUCGAUGUUCUGAAAGAAUAUCUGCAUUCUUCUUUUCAAAAACAUCUUGGAAUUCUUCAUAUUGACUAGGUAUAUUACUUGACGUCUUUUCACUAUCUGAAAUGGGUGUGGCAUAUAUAGCAAAAGAUGACCCCUCUUUGGUUGCAUGCAUGAAAGCUCUUGUCCCUACUAAUAAGGGCUUAGAUAUACUAGACUUAUGUAUUUCCUCUUGAUCAAUAGAAUUUCGAAAUAAACUACUAGGAAAGUUAAGAUUACGAGAAAUCUAAUCUAUUUGAGAGUUGUACUUUUCUAACUAAGAUAGUCUUAAAAUGAUUGGAUUCAAAAGAGAUCAUAUCACAUUAAAUAUUACUACACUAUUAUGAUCUUUAAUUAUUACAUCUAAAAGAACAGUCUCAUAGAUAACAUCACCAAAAGAUAACGAACGACCAUCUAUGACUUUCACAUGUACGGGUUUGAUUUUCUUGACUAACGAUAUUUCUUAUUUUUUGAUAAAGUCUUCGUCUAUAAAAUAAGCUGAGGCUCUUGAAUCUAAUAAUAUAAAGACUUUAUGAUUUUUGGAUCCUAAACACACAUCUAUUCUAAAACAAGGUGAAGGAUCUAAAGAGAGAAUAGGAUCUUGACUAUGAGUUGUACGUGGUUCCAGCCGCACGGUCCCUAUUAUAAUUAGAGGAACUCAUUUUCUGACACAUUGUCUUCUUUUGCAAUCGUACGCUUUAUUUUGUGAUUGCGUUGCUUCUUUAGACAAUGUUGAACAGUGUAUUUAGCUUCUUUGUAAUAUAGACAUAAGCCCUCUUGACAUCGUCGAGUCUUUUCCUACUCUGUGAGGGAUUUAAAAUGUACCGCAUCAAUUUGCAUUGGCUUUGGCUUUGAUAGAAAGGAUUCCAAAAACUUAGAAAGUAUCGCCAUGACUUGAUUUGUUCCUCUCCAGCCAUAUCUUUGUUCUUGAUGUCUUUCAAAUAAAUAAUUAUCACAUAUAAUAACUUGAGCAAUGAUAUGUUCUAAAGAAUCUAUUUUUGGCAUUGUCAAUAAUAUAUCCUUGACAUUACCCUUUAAUCCAUAGCAAAAUUGAUUGAUAAGGGCUUUAUCAUUCCAGUCCACAUCACAAGUAAGACUUUGGAAUUCAGCGGUAUACGUAGUGGCUGAACAUGAUCCUUGUCACAGUGAUACAAGCUUGAUCUUUGCUAUCCUUUCUCGAUCACUUUUUUUAAAUAUAGCCAUAAAUACUUACAAGAAUGAAUUCAAAUCAUAGAGUAGUCGUGAAUCUUUUUCCAUCAAAGGUACGAAUCAAGAGAGAACACUUCCGGAUAGAAGUGCGCCUAUGAAUCCAACUUGAAUAAAUCCAUCAAGGUAUUGGAAAGGAUGCAACCUUAAGUAGAGUUUAACUUGUUGCAAAAACCCUUGAAAUCUUGAUCUUAUUCUGUCAAACUUUUCAGGCAUACUAAUCCUUACCUCCCUCAAGCUUGUAGAAGCAAAAUUCUUGGAAUUUGGUUGUGAGGCUAAUCGACUUAUUUCCUUCAACUGCACAACUUCUUGGCAUAGACUAUGAACUUCUUUCAUAGUAGUAGGAAUAGUACUUCCAUGGUUGGUAUUGGUGAUGAGUGAAAUUUCGGACUUGAGAGUGUUGACAAGCUCAUGAAGAUUUGCAAUAGUUACAAAUCUAUUUUUACUUCCACUAAGUGUAGCAUCCAUGAUUUUUCCUUCUAUAGACAACUCAAACAAAUUCAAAAGUUAAAUAAGACGAAGGUAAUCCGCAACCUCUAAAAACAAAUUCCACAAAGAGGGGUAAUCCACUCUCUUUAAAAAAUAGAUCAAUGUUAGAAAACAAGAUUUUUUGCUUAAAGGUGGAUAGUCCACAACCUUCAAAAUAUAAUAAUAGAAGUGGAGUAAUCCACUCACUUCUAGAACUAGACAGAAAUAAUAUGUUAGUACUCUUGUCAAACUAUCAAGAACAUGAACUCCAAAGAAAGAUAAUUUCAAUAUACUCUUGUGUCACUCAAAAAUACUUAGAAAUCACUCAAAGGAAAUAAUAUAUUGAACUAGAAUGGCUAUUGUCAAAGACUAGAAAAUAUUGCGACUCUUGAAACUAGAUUGAAAAUAAGAAAGAAGUUGACGAGAGUGAAGAAUGCUUCACUCUUAUCUCUAUAUAUACUAUCUAACUAGGGGCUACGUGGUGACGUUCUAUAGGACCUUUAAUAUGUGUUGACUUUGUAGGACACUUGCCUUGACUUACAAGGUAAGUUUUUCUACGUGUGGGCCACAUAGUUAGUUUGGUCUUCAAGCUAACAACAUGUGUGGCACAUGGCCAACUUCUUGACUACUUUUUUAAUUCAAAAAAUCAAUUAAAGAUACCUAUGAAGUCAAAGCAGUAUCUAUGAAUCUUCUAGAAAGCUUCCAUAUCAAAUACUAUAGAAUUAAUUUACUUUUAUCUACUUUUAUUAACUUCUACUUAUUUAUAUAUGUAAUUACUAGCUUACAUGAGUAUGUCCAUGAUAGAAGGUGGCCCAUUGAUAUUAACCAUGGUUGGAUGAUUUAGAUAGCAAAUAAUACACAAGGAGAUCUUUAUGGUGCUUGUCCAAAUAUGAAGGUAAAAGUAGGAGAUGUGACCAUAGAACAAAUUUUUUUUGUUCAAGACACUACUUCAUCCUUAGUGAUUUUUAGUCAACCAUAUAUUACAGCUCUGAGGAUAAAGACUAAGGUUUUGGAUGACGGAUCAACAUGUGCCCAUAUUAAAAGUCAAGAUGGAAAGAGUGGUGCAGUUUCUAACAGUACCUGUAAACCAUGAGCACAAUCGAGAUUAUUUACAAUGUGAUUUAUUACCAAGGAUCAGUGAACAGUUUAUGGAUUUUUGCAAGGUACCACUAUAGAGCGAGAAUGUAGUGAUAUAUCAAAAAAGGUACUCUUGCAUAAAAAAGAAAGUACCUUUUGUAUAAGUAUUAUAGAAUUAUCUAAGAAUGGAUUUGCUAUCUAUACACAACUUAAUGAUCUACGAAUGUGGGAGAAAAAAGUUGUGCAAAAAUCUGAAAAAGACCUAAAAAGAGUAGGUGUGCUUGAUGGAGAUGAUAAGAUACUAGGUGUAUAUAUGGAGACUGGUUUAGAAGAUUUUAUGAAAGAAAUUUUAGAAGUUGAACAAGAAAAUAAAGAUCAAGUGGUGCAAGUACAUUCAAGAGAGCUCUACUCAACUAUACAAGCAUUUCAAGAUUAUGAAGUCAAAGUUGAAACUAGGUACAAGACUGUGGAGAAGAAAAUAAAACUUGUAGCUAUAUCAUUACCUAAUGAUUCCAAUCAUCAAGUUCAACAUGUUUUGAAGAAAAAGGGCUUAUGGGAUCCUAAACAAAUUGGCCACAAGUUUACCAAGAACAAACUCAAUGAGUUGAAAGUAGGAUCUACAAAUUUUCUAUUGUCUGUUGAAGAAAUAGAAUUUAGAAAUAUGUUAAAUAUGCAUGGAAAGGCUUUUGCUUUUGAACCUUCAGAAAUUAGAUGUGUUGAUCCAAAUAUUGUAGCACUAAUGAUUAUAUUUACAGUUCCGCAUGUUCCUUGGAAUUUAAGACCAAUUUCAAUGCCUAAAGCACAUCUACCUGAACUUAUGGAGUUUUUAAAAGAAAAGAUGUAAAUGAAGAUCCUAAAGCCAUCAUUUAAACCAUAUUCUAGUCAUUGGUUUACAGUACCAAAGAAAAAUGGAACACUACGGUUCAUUCAAGAUAUGCAACCAGUGAAUCAAGUGACUAUUAGAAAUAUUGGAAUUCGACCAAUUGUUGGAGAAUUUGUUGAGGUAUUUGAUAGUAGAGCUAUUUAUUCUAUUGGAGAUCUAUAUUCUAGAUAUGAUCAAUUCCAACUAGCUGAAGGAAGCAAAGACAUCACUACUAUGAUGAUACCUUUAGGGUUGAUUAAGAUUUAUACAUUGCCACAAGAAGCAACAAACUCGGUAGCUCACAUGAUGAAUGGGAUGAAUAAGAUUCUUUGUGAUUUCAUUUGAGAAAAGACUAUGCCCUUCUUUGAUGAUAUUCCAAUAAAAAGAUGUGUAGAAGAAGAGAAAAAUGAAACAAUGAAUCAAAAGAAGUGCUGUAAAUUUGUAUUUAAUCAUAUUUUGGACUGUGACAAAAUUUUAUCUCGACUUGAGGAGGUUCACUUGAUACUAUCAGGAGCUAAAUCUAUCUUUGGAAUUUGAGAAGUUAUUAUUGUGGGGUAUUUGUGUAGAUGGUUUGGUCGCAAACCUGAUCCUAAUAAGGUGGAUGCCAUACAAUGGAUGAAGGAUAUUUGUAGCUCACAAAUAGAGGCACAGGGGAUUUUAGGAGCUUGUAUAUUUUAUUGUGUAUGGAUUCCUCAUUAUGUAUAUGUAGCUGAUCCUCUUUAUAGUUUGCUUUGAAAAAAAAAGAGAUUUAAAUGGGAAAAGAAGCAUACACAAACAAUUCAAAAGCUAAAGCAAUUAUUAUCUUUUCUACUUGUAUUGUGAAGGAUAAGUUAUGAGGAUGGUAAAUUGGUAAUACUUAUAGUUAAUACUAGUCCAAUAGCUAUUGAUUGGGCUUUAGGACAAAAUAAUGAAGAAGAUAACAGGUUUGUUAUUAGAUUUGGAGCUAAAGUAUUAAAUGAACAACAAAGAAACUAUCUACAGGUGAAACAGAAGCUAAGGAGAAUAGUUAUAGCUAUGAAAAAUGAAAGAGAUUAUUUAAUAGGAGCACCAGUGAUAGUGAAAACAGAUUGUUUGCCACUAUUGGGAAUGAUUACCAACUGUAACACCCAUAAUUCUGCUAUGCUAAGAUAGAUUAAAUAUAUUAAAUCUUUGAAUUUUGAAUUUAGGCAUAUAUCAAGCAAGGAUAAUCUUAUAGCAGAUAUGCUACCUUGAGCUAGAUAUGAACAAAAAGAAGAUUUAAUUGAAGAUACUGAAGAUAUAGGUACUACCUUCUAUUUUAGGAUACAACAAGGAGAGGAUAAAUAUCCAAGACCAUUUACAGAAGAAUUAUAUGAAGAAGAAUGGAUUGAUAUUGGACGCUAUUUAAAAAUAUUAUCAAGAUAAUUAGGAUGGAAUGAUACUCAUUUGAAACAGAUUAGAUGGAAGGCUUACAACUACCUCUUACAAGGUGGUUACCUAUAGAAGCGAUGCAAACAAGAUAGUGGAAUGUCACAGAGAGUAGUUUAUAAGAAAGAGAUGCAAGAAUAAUUAAUCUAUGAAUUCCAUGAUAGUUUGUGGGCUGGAUAUAGAGGUAUUUAUGCCACCUUUAACAAGCUCAAAGAAAAAUAUUGGUGGCGUAACAUGUAUAGAGAUGUGGUGAAGUUUGUAGAAUCAUACCAAACUUGUCAGAUAUACUUGAAGAUUUGACAUAGAGAUGGAUUGCAUCCUACAUAUCUACUUGCAAUACAUUAUAAAUGGAUUGUAGACCUAGUUACUAUGCCUAUGGAGAUAUGGCAAAUGUGGUACUUGGCUCUAGCACGAGAAGAUUUUUGUAACCAAGUAGAAGAAAGAGCUCUACGAAUAAAAUCCACUGAAGGAGUUUAUAGAUUUUUAUUCGAAGAUGUGAUUUGUAGAUAUGGAUGUAUUAGAAAAAUUACUGCUGAUCAUGGAGAAUUGGAUGUACAUGAGGCUAGACAGUUCUUUGAGAGAUGUGGAGUGAAGCUAACACUUACUACAUCUUAUAAUCCAGAAGGUAAUGCUAAGAGUGAGAGAGGUCAUCUUCCUAUUGUAAAGACCAUUGUUAAAACUUGCAAAGAAAGAGUAAGAGAAUGGCCAAGAUUAUUACCAUUUGUUCUUUGGACUGAUCGUACUAUUCACAGUUUAGUGACAGAAUAUAUGCCAGUAGAGUUAAUGUAAGGACAGAAGCCCAUUAUGCCAAUUGAAGAGCAAAUACUUACUUGGAGUAUCUUGCCUUGGCAAGAAAAUAUAUCUAAAGAAGAAUUUUUUGUACUUUGAAUUUGUCAAGUAGAGAGAAGACCUCAAGAUGUAAAAAAAAUUAUUAUAAGGCUGAGGGAGUCAUGCUUGAAGAAUAAAGAUAGAUUUGAUAAGCAACACAGGUUGAGGCCGAAAGAUAUUCAAGAAGGUGAUUGGGUUUUGGUAUAUGAAAACAAUUUGGAUAACGAACAUAGUGUUUUUAAAAAAUUUUCUAAAAAUUGGUUUCGACCUUAUGUGGUUGUACAUGUUUUGGAUAAUGCUACAUAUGCAUUAAGGGAAUUACAUGGAAUAAGAUUCAAAAUUCCAAUUGCAAGAAAAUAUAUAAAACUUUUCAAACAAUGGGAUCAAGAACUAGUCCUUGAAGAUAUUGAAGAAGAGUUUGAUCUAUCUAGAUAUGAAGAAGAAGAAUUAGAUUUUGAAGAAGACAUUAUUAAGGAAGUAAUAUAAUGUCGACCACAACUUUGAUUCUUUUUGGUGCAUACUGGAGGAUGCACAAGUUUAGAGGAGGUGGAUGUCAUGUUGUGGUUCGCCUACUAUAUGAAAAUAAUGUAAUUAUGUACUUAAAAUAUAAUUUAUUAAGUAACAUGGUGAGAGCCAUAUUACUAGAUUUUAGUUGGUUGUAGAAUAUAAUUUAAUUAUUACUUUGAGAAGGGGUUGAUUUAAUUUCCUUUUAAUAGUGGCUUUUAAGAUUGGUUUUGGUUGAUAGUAACUUCUAAAUAUUUAGAGUCACCUUUAUUAGACAUUGGUGACCUUUAAAAACUUAUUUUGGUUCUUUUAUUUGGUGUUUAGAGCAUAAAUUUUAUAAAUAUUAUAAGAAAAAGGAUUGAAGAAGGGUUUUGGUAGCAAAGUAAGUAAUUAGGGUACCAAUAUAGAUGAAUGGAGAUGAAUGAUGAAAAUCUCCAUUCGUAUUGGUCAAAAAUCAUGACCAAUAGGCUUUGAGGAGGCUGCCUGAGGCCAUAUUAGGAAUUAGGGUUAGUUUUUUGGAGCCAUUUGAGCUUUGAAGGCUAAAGUCAGCAAGUUUAGGUUUUUGGCUAUGGAUUUGGUAUAAGUUUUGUAUGAUUUGGAGUUUAUGUGAAGAAAAUAUAGACACUCAAAGUUAAGGUGUUGAUUUGGGAGCUAUUGUCACUCUUUUUAGUAUAACGCAUGUGUAUGGAUAGCAAUUGAAGAUUGGUGAUUGUGACUGGAUCGAGCACUUUUGCAGCUAUAUUUUUUGCAUACUGAUUACUGGAUUCCAAGUUGACGUGAAGGAGUUAUUGGAUUUUGAACUCAGCACAUGCAAUCUAAGGGUAGUAAGUGACCCGAUUUACUAGUGGUUGUGUCUUGAGCUAUAUCUUGAGCAAUUUGACAAGGUUUUGGCUUAGAAUUUCAAGAAAUGUAUAAUUUUAUGUUAAUAAACUUUGUAAAUAGGUUUUAUGACAUUUGAGUAUUGGAUUCUUAAGAUAUUAAGAAAAUAGUACUAGGAUGCUUGUAAAUUAGGGUUUAGAGCAUCUACUAGGAUUUCUUAGAUGACAAAAGCUUGGGAGUGAAUUUGUACUUGGUUUUUUUUGUGAAAAAAUUUAAAAGUGAAUUCUACCUAUUUUAUAAAUUUGAAAAAAAAUUAAUAACUUAAUCAAGAGUUAUGAAUUUCUAAAGUUUGAGACAAGAAAAUCCUUCGCGUGAAAAAUAUGUUUUGAAGGGAUUUUGUUAUAUUUUGAGUUUUAUGCAAAAUAAAGGAGUUUUGGGAGGCUAAGACAAGAUUCAUAUAAAGGUUUAAGCUAAACUCUCUACAAUUAGAUAUCUAGUGUAUUCCUAGAUAGCAAAUUAAGCCAUAUGAUAAUAGUGUCAUGUUGUAACAUGACUACAUGGUGAAAGAUAAUAAUAUAGAUCUUAUUAUAGAAGAGCCAAGUUAAAAGAUAAAGUAGAAAAAUAUAGAUAAAAGAUAGGAAGGUAGUAAAACUUUUAGUAGUAAUGCUGCUCUUUUAAAAAAAAUAGCUUCUAUUUACUUUGUAGGAUCAAAAUUAAGACAAAAUAAGAUAGAUUAGAAAAAUAAAUAAUAUAGACAUCUUAAGAAGGAAGUUAAGAGUAAAUUCUAGAAAAAAGUACUAAGAAAAACUAGAUAUUGAUACCCAAAGAGGGCCGGUUAUCAACUUGGAUUGAAAUCAGACCCUAUGGUACAAAACUAAGCACUUACGGCAACUUGGGGGUUCUUUUUGGAGAUCGAAGAGUGGAAUUUGAUAGCAAACUAGACAGGAUUUUUAUGAAGGUUGACUUUGGAUGAUUUGGAUUUGUUAUGACUUAGUAAGAGCUUUAUAAAGUCAAGAUUAUUUUUGGAUGACUUGGAUUUUUUGAAAUAAAAUAGGGUUGACGUUUCUAGUGAUUUCAAGAGUUUUAUAAUAGAUCUACAAAUAAAAUUUUGUAGAUUAAUGGUCAUAGUUGUGCUUCAUACAUGAUGUAAAUCUUAGCUCAAUCUAAUAGUUGAAUUGAGUGUUAUUGAGGUUUAAGUGAGUCAAGGUCUUAGAAAAAAGAAUUUUAAGUCUAAUAAGGAUUUUUAAGAUUUUUUACAAUCUACAUGUUGGAUUGGAGUGAAAUUUGUAUGAAAAGAUAUUAGAAUUAUUUUUCUAUAUAUGUGAGAAUUUUGAAAUCAAUCGAAUGGUAAAAAAGAGAGAUAUUGGCUCUAGGUAAUUAGUAUCAAGGUUAGAGAAGGAGGCCAACUAAUACCUUAGAACAUUUUUGUGAUUAUCGUCUAUUUGGUAAUUUCAAUUCUUUUCAAAAAAUUUGUGCUUGUUUUUAAUUUAAUUGUUAAAAAGCAUGCAAAUUUUGAAUUAAGAUCAACGGUUCAUUCAUUAGUAAUUGAGGUUUAAAUCUGUUGUAGGAAUUACUAGGGUUUGAUUUAGGAUUUAGGAUUUGGUUUAGUGUUUGGUUAGGAUUUGAUUUAGGAUUAGGAUUUGAUUAGGAUUUGAUUUAGGAUUAGGAUUUAGGAUUUGGUUUAGAAUUUAGGAUUUAGUUAGGAUUUGAUUUAGGAUUUAGGAUUUAGAUAGAGUUUGAUUUGAUUUAAGGUUUUAUAUGAGUUUGUUUAGGAUUUAAGAUGUAGUUUAUUAUUGACCUAAAUUUUGAAUGAAGUCCAAUAGGAUUUUAACUAGGAUUUAAUUAAGAUUGAAUUGAGAUGUAUUUGAGAUAUAUUUGUAAUCAUUCUAAUAUUUCUUUAAAAUUUCUUAUUAUUUCUUUGUAAUUCCUUUGAUAUUUUUUUAAAUUUGAUUAAAGUU